ensembl:lncRNA
CCCAACUCUCAGCGGCGUACUCUUCCCAACGAGGAUCUUGACCUGACGCCGUGUCUUGGUGGGAAAAACAGAUUCGUUACGUCGCCGCGACGCUGUUCCUAACACUCGCGCACGUCGGAUAGAUUUACGCGCGUUUUCAUACUCGAGGAAAAGUGGACCGGAGUCGGGUUCCGGCGAGAUCGUACACACGUCGGAGCAAGGACACGGGUUUAAAAAGAAAGUGGGUGUGACAGAUCGAAACAGAAGGAUGGAAGAGGAUGGAAAGAAGUAGAGAUAGAGAGAUGGAAGAAGGUAGGAAGAACUGACGGGAAGAGAGAAGGAACGAUGGAUAAAAAGAAAGGAAGAAGGGCAGAUGUACAAAAUGAAGAACGGAAGGAUGAGGAAAAGGAGGACUGGAAUACGGAGGCAGGACGGACGAAGUGGGGGGUGGGGGUGGGUGGGGGGGGACGGAUGGAAGGAAGGACACAAAAGGAAGAGUGGGAAAAGAAAGAAAACGAUGGAAGGAGCGCCAGGAAGAAGGGAGAUCAAAAGCGUGAAUGAGUGGAAUGGAGCGAGGGGAAUAAAGAAGGAAGGAAGGAAGAAAAAGGAAAUAAGGAAGGAAGGAGGGAAGGAAAGAAGGCGAGAAGGAAGGAAGGAAGGAAGGAAGGAAAGAAGGAAAGAAGGAAAGAAGGCGAGAGGUAAGGAAGGAAGGAAGGAAGGAAGGAAGAAAAAGGAAAUAAGGAAGGAAGGAAAGAAGGCGAGAAGGAAGGAAGGAAGGAAGGAAGGAAGGAAAGAAGGAAGGAAGGAAAGAAGGAAGGAAGGAAGGAAGGAAGGAAAGAAGGCGAGAAGGAAGGAAAGAAGGCGAGAAGGAAGGAAGGAAGGAAGGAAGGAAGGAAGGAAGGAAAGAAGGAAAGAAGGAAAGAAGGCGAGAAGGAAGGAAGGAAAGAAGGAAGGAAAGAAGGAAGGAAGGAAAGAAGGAAAGAAGGCGAGAAGGAAGGAAGGAAGGAAAGAAGGAAAGAAGGCGAGAAGGGAGGAAAGAAGGCUGAGAAGGAAGG